GCUUGUUUGGAUGAGUUCACACAAGUUCUACAACUGUCAGAGGUGCUCCAGUCCAGGUUGCCAAGCCAUGAAUCUUAGGCUCGUGUGAUUUCUCAGUGGAGAAGAAGUCUUGUCUAAUGGGAGGUACAGAGGGAAGGCUUCCUGGAACAUGUGGAGACAAACCAGGAAGGUGAUCCAAAUGAAAGCAGAAACCACCCGGCUGGAUCAGAGAGGAUCCGGCAUCAGAGCCCUUGAAAGCCCAGGCAGUGGCCAGAAGACCCAGGCUCCCACCCUGGUGUUGACCCAUCCACGUGCUCAACAGAAAAUGGACCUGCUGGUUCUUACUUUUA